rnacentral:lncRNA from 1 species
AUGGGCGGUGAGGCCCAGGACAUCACCUGCCCUGUGUGCCAGGGGGCCCCCAAGGAGCCCAGCUACAUCCUCCCCUGCCUGCACCAGUUCUGCUUCGGGUGCGUCAUGCGCUGGGUCCAGAGAAGCAGCACCUGCCCCCUCUGCAGGCAGCGCAUCACCUCCAUCCGCUACUCCAUCUGGGCGGAAGACGACUUCCUGGAGGUGCAGGUGGCCCCCGAUGCAGAGGCGCAAGACGACAGCCCCCAGGACCAGCAGGGGGCUGCAGAGCCCAUGCCCCAGCCUGCCGUCAGAGGCCUCCCGCCCGAGGAAUGGGCAGCCCUCUUCAGGGAACACCUCGAAGUCCUGGGUCCGCUGCGCUCCUGGGUGCGCCAGCAAGCCAGGGAGCUCUUCGAUGCUGCCUGGUGGGACCAGGACAUGCUGGAGGCCACCGUCGUCGCUUGGCUGUGCCGCUGUGGGCUGGAUGAGCACGCCUUGGUGCGGGAGCUGCGGCCCUUGCUGCAGGGCCACACGGUGAGCAUUGUGCAGCGGCUCAUCUCCAUCAUGGGGGAGAUAUGCAGCGAGGAGUACCUCGAGGAGCUGGGCUUCCUGGAACCGCGUCCUGACAGCCAGCUCUACAUGGACAACGGCCCUGACGUGGACCUCGAGGGCUCCCAAGACACCUGGGAGCCAAACAACGAGGGCUCCGAAGACACCGGGGAGCCAGAGCUCGAGGGCUCCCAAGACACCUGGGAGCCAGAAGACAGCCUGGAGGCCACCCCCAGCCCUGCUGCCUCCCCCCGGGACACUCCUGUCACCAGCCUGCUCUCCUCCUCCAGCGCGGAGGAUUCUGACAUCGAGGAGCUGCCCAGCGCCUCCAGUGCCGCCCUGCCUGCGGGUCCUGGCCAGCCGCCCGCUGCACCCAUCCCUGAGGAGCAGGAGGAGCUCUUCUCAGAGCCUGAAGAGGAGGAAGCAGAACACGCUGCAGUGCCGGGCUGCAGCCACGGGCCCUCUCCUCCUGGCCAGGGCAGGGACAGCUCACCUGGGGGGCCCCGGCGCCCCCCGAAGAGGAGGGCCGACAGCAACCCGGACUCUCCCCAGCCCUGCAAGAGGCCCCCGCGCCUUUAG